rnacentral:rRNA from 1 species
GUAGCUUGCUACUUUGCCGGCGAGCGGCGGACGGGUGAGUAAUGUCUGGGAAACUGCCCGAUGGAGGGGGAUAACUACUGGAAACGGUGCUAAUACCGCAUAACGUCUUCGGACCAAAGUGGGGGACCUUCGGGCCUCACACCAUCGGAUGUGCCCAGAUGGGAUUAGCUAGUAGGUGGGGUAACGGCUCACCUAGGCGACGAUCCCUAGCUGGUCUGAGAGGAUGACCAGCCACACUGGAACUGAGACACGGUCCAGACUCCUACGGGAGGCAGCAGUGGGGAAUAUUGCACAAUGGGCGCAAGCCUGAUGCAGCCAUGCCGCGUGUGUGAAGAAGGCCUUCGGGUUGUAAAGCACUUUCAGCGAGGAGGAAGGCAGUCGUGUUAAUAGCACGGUUGAUUGACGUUACUCGCAGAAGAAGCACCGGCUAACUCCGUGCCAGCAGCCGCGGUAAUACGGAGGGUGCAAGCGUUAAUCGGAAUUACUGGGCGU